rnacentral:rRNA from 1 species
CGGUAAUACGUAGGUGGCAAGCGUUGUCCGGAAUCAUUGGGCGUAAAGAGCGCGUAGGUGGCUUGUCAGGUCUGAUGUGAAAUUUCGGGGCUCAACCCCGAACCUGCAUCGGAAACCGGCUUGCUUGAGUCUGGGAGAGGAGAGUGGAAUUCCUGGUGUAGCGGUGAAAUGCGUAGAUAUCAGGAGGAACACCGGUAGCGAAGGCGGCUCUCUGGAACAGUACUGACGCUGAGGCGCGAAAGCUAGGGGAGCAAACAGGAUUAGAUACCCUGGUAGUCCUAGCCGUAAACGAUGGACACUAGGUGUCGGGGGUGUCGACUCCCCCGGUGCCGAAGCUAACGCAUUAAGUGUCCCGCCUGGGGAGUACGGCCGCAAGGCUAAA